rnacentral:rRNA from 1 species
AGGACUAACGCUGGCGGCGUGCCUAACACAUGCAAGUCGAACGAGGUAGCAAUACCUAGUGGCAGACGGGUGAGUAACGCGUGGUCAACCUACCUCUUAGUGGGGGAUAACUAGCCGAAAGGUUAGCUAAUACCGCAUACGAUCGUCGCGAGGCAUCUCGUGACGAUGAAAGGAGCAAUUCGCUAAGAGAGGGGACUGCGUCCCAUUAGUUAGUUGGUGGGGUAAUGGCCCACCAAGACUCCGAUGGGUAGCUGGCUUGAGAGAGCGACCAGCCACACUGGAACUGAGACACGGUCCAGACUCCUACGGGAGGCAGCAGUGAGGAAUUUUCCGCAAUGGGCGCAAGCCUGACGGAGCGACGCCGCGUGUGGGAAGAAGGCCUUCGGGUCGUAACCACUGUCGAAGGGGACGAUAUUGACGGUACCCUUGGAGGAAGCCCCGGCUAACUACGCGCCAGCAGCCGC